UGGUGGAGUGAUUUGUCUGGUUGAUUCCGUUAACGAACGAGACCCCGGCCUGCUAAAUAGGUGCAGCCAUCUUGCGAUGGUUUUCUGGCACCUUCUUAGAGGGACAAUUCAGUUUUACUGGAUGGAAGUUCGGGGCAAUAACA
rnacentral:rRNA from 1 species